UACGUAGGGUGCAAGCGUUGUCCGGAAUUAUUGGGCGUAAAGAGCUCGUAGGCGGUCUGUUGCGUCGGCUGUGAAAACCCGAGGCUCAACCCCGGGCCUGCAGCCGAUACGGGCAGACUAGAGUUCGGCAGGGGAGACUGGAAUUCCUGGUGUAGCGGUGAAAUGCGCAGAUAUCAGGAGGAACACCGGUGGCGAAGGCGGGUCUCUGGGCCGAUACUGACGCUGAGGAGCGAAAGCGUGGGGAGCGAACAGG
rnacentral:rRNA from 1 species